UACGUAGGGUGCGAGCGUUGUCCGGAAUUAUUGGGCGUAAAGAGCUUGUAGGCGGUUUGUCGCGUCUGCCGUGAAAAUUCGAGGCUCAACCUCGAACUUGCGGUGGGUACGGGCAGACUAGGGUGUGGUAGGGGAGACUGGAAUUCAUGGUGUAGCGGUGAAAUGCGCAGAUAUCAGGAGGAACACCGAUGGCGAAGGCAGGUCUCUGGGCCACUACUGACGCUGAGAAGCGAAAGCAUGGGGAGCGAACAGG
rnacentral:rRNA from 1 species